CUGCAUCAAAUUGGUCUGAAUGGCUGUAGUCCCAGAAGGAAGCCUCUUCUAAAGAUGAUGCACAAGAAAGCCCGCAAACAGUUUGCUGAAGACCAACAGACUAAGGACAUGAAUGACUGGAACCAUGUCCUGUGGUUCGAUGAGACCAAGAUAAACUUAUUUAGUUCUGAUGUUGUCAAGAGUGUGUGGCGGCAACCAGGUGAGGAGUACAAAGACAAGUGUGUC